UACGGGGGAUGCGAGCGUUGUCCGGAUUCACUGGGCGUAAAGGGCGCGUAGGCGGCCCGGUCAGUCGGCGCUCUAAGUGCGGGGCUCAACCCCGUGAUGGCGCCGGGACGGCCGGGCUGGGGCGCGGCAGAGGGAGACGGAAUGCCGGGUGUAGUGGUGAAAUGCGUAGAUAUCAAGCGGAACACCAGUGGCGAAGGCGAGUCCCUGGACAACUCCUGACACUGAGGCACGAAAGCUAGGGGAGCAAACAGG
rnacentral:rRNA from 1 species